UACGAGUAAAGAUGCUCGUUACGCGCAGCAGGACGGAAAGACCCCGUGACCUUUACUACAGCUUGGUAUUGGUGUUCGGAGUGGCUUGUGUAGGAUAGGUGGGAGACUGUGAAGCUUGGACGCUAGUUCAGGUGGAGUCAUUGUUGAAAUACCACUCUGGUCACUUUGGAUAUCUAACUACGAACCGUGAUCCGGUUCUGGGACAGUGCCUGGUGGGUAGUUUAACUGGGGCGGUUGCCUCCCAAAAAGUAACGGAGGCGCCCAAAGGUUCCCUCAACCUGGUUGGCAAUCAGGUGUCGAGUGUAAGUGCACAAGGGAGCUUGACUGUGAGACUGACAAGUCGAGCAGGGACGAAAGUCGGGACUAGUGAUCCGGCAGUGGCUUGNNNNNNNNNNNNNNNNNNNACGGAUAAAAGGUACCUCGGGGAUAACAGGCUGAUCUUGCCCAAGAGUCCAUAUCGACGGCAUGGUUUGGCACCUCGAUGUCGGCUCGUCGCAUCCUGGGGCUGGAGUAGGUCCCAAGGGUUGGGCUGUUCGCCCAUUAAAGCGGUACGCGAGCUGGGUUUAGAACGUCGUGAGACAGUUCGGUCCCUAUCCGCUGCGCGCGUAGGAAAUUUGAGAAGAUCUAUCCCUAGUACGAGAGGACCGGGAUGGACGAACCUCUGGUGUGUCAGUUGUCCUGCCAAGGGCACCGCUGAUUAGCUACGUUCGGAACGGAUAACCGCUGAAAGCAUCUAAGCGGGAAGCCGGCUUCGAGAUGAGAUUUCCAUACCCUUCGGGGUGAGAGGCUCCCAGCUAGACUACUGGGUUGAUAGGCCGGAUGUGGAAGUGGGGACUAACGACCCAUGGAGCUGAC
rnacentral:rRNA from 1 species